rnacentral:piRNA from 1 species
AAGCAUAGGAUCAUACAAAGCUAGCGUA